GCCAGGCAUGGUGGCGCAUGCCUGUAAUCCCAGCUACUUGGGAGGCUGAGGCAGAAGAAUAGCUUGAACCCAGGAAGCAGAGGUUGCAGUGAGCUAAGAUCAUGCCACUGCACUCCAGCCUGGGCAACAGAGCAAGACUCUGUCUCAA
rnacentral:SRP_RNA from 1 species